CGGAGUGUAGCUCAGUCUGGUAGAGCAUUGUCUUCGGGAGGCAAGGGUCGCUGAUUCAAAUCCAGUCACUCCGACCA
rnacentral:tRNA from 1 species